rnacentral:rRNA from 1 species
GAUGAACGCUGGCGGCGUGCCUAAUACAUGCAAGUCGAGCGAACGGACGAGAAGCUUGCUUUUCUGAUGUUAGCGGCGGACGGGUGAGUAACACGUGGAUAACCUACCUAUAAGACUGGGAUAACUUCGGGAAACCGGAGCUAAUACCGGAUAAUAUUUUGAACCGCAUGGUUCAAAAGUGAAAGACGGUCUUGCUGUCACUUAUAGAUGGAUCCGCGCUGCAUUAGCUAGUUGGUAAGGUAACGGCUUACCAAGGCAACGAUGCAUAGCCGACCUGAGAGGGUGAUCGGCCACACUGGAACUGAGACACGGUCCAGACUCCUACGGGAGGCAGCAGAAGGGAAUCUUCCGCAAUGGGAGAAAGCCUGACGGAGCAACGCCGCGUGAGUGAUGAAGGUCUUCGGAUCGUAAAACUCUGUUAUUAGGGAAGAACAUAUGUGUAAGUAACUGUGCACAUCUUGACGGUACCUAAUCAGAAAGCCACGGCUAACUACGUG